rnacentral:rRNA from 1 species
CAAUAGCGUAUAUUAAAGCUGUUGCGGUUAAAAAGCUCGUAGUUGGAUUUCUGUCAAGGACAACUGGUCCGCCCCUCGGGUGAGCACAUAGUUUGGUCUUGGCGUCUUGUUGGAAACUGUUGCUGCACUUGGUUGUGUGGCGCAGUGUCCAGCACUUUCACUUUGAGGAAAUUGGAGUGUUUCAAGCAGGCACAUGCCUUUGGACACAGUAGCAUGGAAUAAUUAGAUUGGGCUUUUGCUCCAACUUGUCGGUUUCUGGAGCUGAGGUGAGAAUUAAUGGGGAUUGUUGGGGGCAUCCGAAUUUAGCCGUCAGAGGUGAAAUUCUUGGAUCUGCUAAAGACGGACAACUGCGAAAGCGUUUGCCCAGGAUGUUUUCAUUGA